rnacentral:piRNA from 1 species
UGAGGUAAUGUGUUAAAGUAUGAGUUGC